UUUCCUUGGUAAAAAUAUUUUUAAAUCAUUUAAGUAACAAAUGGCAACCUACCUGUUACUCGAGAAGAUGCAAAUUCCAGAACACUGACUCAUUGGCAAUGAGAAAGUUCAUGAAAUUCUCAGUGAGGUGGAAAAUGCAAAUAUAUGUCAUGAGCAAUAAUGCCACAUUGCAGGAAAAGUAGGCGUAAUGCCAUUCUGAUUCAAAGCUUUUAAGCUAGAAAAUCCUUUUGACAGAAGGGAUAAGAGGUGAAGUUCAUUUCAGUUAAAGCAAAACAGGAAGAGCAAUAAGUAGCUAAGCCUGAUGAGGGAAGGGGAAAAAAAGGGUAGCAAGGAAGUUGGUGUUCCCAGACUGAAAGAAUUUGUGAAGCCUCUUGGAUUUGGGUGCUGUGCUGUUGUUGUGUGCUGUGGGGUCAAUGCUCAUAGCGACUCCAUGUGACAGAGUAGAACUGCCCGUAGGGUUUCUUUGGCUGCAAUCUUUGCAGAAGCAGAUUGCCAGGGCUUUCUCCCAUGAAACCACUGGGAACUGUAAAAUGGACAUAAUUAUACAAAGAAGAAACUAUAUACAACAAUGUAACUUUAUUAUACACUUGGGCUGACUGAAUUUGUUAUCAUUAACAAUUUCACUUGACUUUCUUAGAGUUUAGAUGGGCAAUGAAAACAUGAUUUGGAUAUCUUGGUUCACUUAGAGAAGAUGGCUAAGGAAGUCUGAAUUCAUGACCCCUUUUUCUCUUAAAUAUUCAUUGAGGCAAAAAGAGGUGCUCAAAACCAUUCCUUUAAUCUUUGAGUUUGUUCUAAAAAGCAGGUUCAUUUGUGUUGUUUCUGAUGCUGAGAAUAGUGUUUCUACCACCAAAUAAGAAUGUUUAAAGUAAUAGUUGAUCCACACAUCUCCUCUUUCUUACCCCAUGUAUAGAGUCUGAAGUCCAGGCUAAGUGGCUUGGUAUCAGACUAAAGCAAUUGUUUCUAUCAAGAAAUUAUUAAUGUUAUUAACUUAUUCUUUCUCAGCUUCCACUGCUGCAGGGAAAAUGAUAUAUUGUUGACAGCUAUCAGAGCUGUUCAUGCUUUAUUGGAAAGUCAUUUGAAAAAUUACCAUAUCAUUGAACUCAAUUUUUUUUCUUUUUAAGUUUCAAAACAUCUCUCAGAGAACUGCUAAGACAGGGAUCAGAUAUCUGUAUUAUCUAUUCACUCUUUACCUUCUGAGGUUCAGACACUGGUUAAGGUCAGGGGGUGGGGUUUGGACCAGGAGAAGUCCCCUGAGGGGAAUGCAGUGUUCAUGAAGAUAGACUAUCCCUCUUCCCUGGCUCCCCUCUACUUCUCAAAGGGAAGGUGUAGUGGAUUGAAUUGUGUCCCUCAAAAUACGUGUCCACUUGGUUAGGCCAUGUACGGUUGUCCUCCAUUCUGUGAUUUUCCUAUGUGGUAUAAAUUACAAUCUCUGCCUGUGGUUAAGAGAUAGGGUGAGAUUGUAAAACCACCCUAACUCAAGUCACCCCCUGGUCCAAUGAAAAAGGGACUUUCCCUGAGGAGUGGCCUGCACCACCUUUUAUCACGCAAGAGAUAAAAGGGAAGCAAGCAAAUAGUUGGGGACCUCAAACCACCAAGAAAGCAGCACCAGGAACAGAGCAUGUCUUUUGGACACAGGGUCCCUGCACCUUAGAAGCUCCUUGACCAGGAGAAGGCUGAGGACAAGGACCCUCCUCAAGACCUGCCAGAGCGAGAAAGCCUUCCCCUGGAGCCAAUGCCCUGAAUUUGGAAUGUAACCUACUAGACUGUGAGAGAAUAAAUUUCUCUUUGUUAAAGCCAUCCACUUGUGGUAUUUCUGUUAUAGCAGCACUAGCUAACUAAGACAGAGGGUCACCCAAUCACUUGGAAAGUUGUUGAUCUCUACAAACAAAGGAGACUCAUUCACCAGCUGGAUACCUGCCUGGCCUGGGACUUACUGAUCUGCCCAGGAAGAUGAUCUAAGAGACUGAAGAAACAUGUCUCGAAUAGAUGUAUAGUCUUGCAUGCUGGUAUUCCAUGCACAGGGUCCUUGGUUCUUGAGAGAACAAGAGGAAGGAUGGAUGAGCCAACUCUGAGAAUAACACUAGCAAAGAUGAGAGGGCAAAGAACCUACUCUCAGACAAGCAAAAGGACUGAAACAAAAGGACUAGGUGGGGUGGAAAAUAGAGUAGUAAAAGAUGGACCUAGAAAGUUACACGGGGGUCAGAUCACAUAAAGCCUUGCAUGCCAGGGCAAGGGAAUAUAUUCAAUUCAGGGAAUAAUUGGAAGCUAUUGUCGGUUCUUUAAGCCAAAAGAGCAAUGUCAUCUGUACUAUGCUUUAGGAAAAUUAAUUUGACAGAAAUAUAGAGACCAGAUCAGGACAGAGAAAGGCAAGAGGCAAUGUCCACGUGUGAUAGUGAGGAAGAUACAAAGACCUCAUGAUAAGAUACAAAGACCUCAUGAUAAGAUACAAAGACCUCAUGAUGAGAUACCACUACAGGCAUAAAUGAAUGGCAAAAACUAAAAAGAAAUGACAAGUGGUGGUGAGAAUAUAGAGCAACUGGAGCUCUCAUACAGUGCUUACGGGAAUGCAAAAUGGCCCAGUCACUCUGGAAAAUGGUUCAGCAGUUUCUUGUGUAGUUAAACAUACAUUACACAUACAUGUAACGCAACAAUCCCACUUCUGGGUAUCUACCCUAGAGAAAUGAAAACUUACAUUCACGUAAAAACCUGUACAGCCAUGUUUAUAGCAACUCUAUUCAAUAUUACCAAAAAUUGGAAAACACUCAUAAUGUUCUUUCAUGGGUGAAUGAAUGGAUAAACUGUGGAACACCACUCAGCAGUAAGAGGGAACAGAGGCAUCAUGCUGAAUGAAAGAACCCAGUCUCCAAAGGUUAAAUACUGUAUGAUUCCAUUUAUAUGGCAUUCUUGAAAAAGACAAAACUGCAGGAAUGGAGGACAGAUCGAUAAUUGUUAGGGUUUAGGGGAGCAGAGAGAGGUAACUAUAAAGGGAUAGCAUGAGGAAGUUUUUUGGGGUGAUGGAACUGUGCUGUAUCCUGAUUGUGGUGACGGCUACAUGAAUCUCUAACCCAUUAACCAGUUGUUACUAAGUCGAUUCAGACUCAUGGCAACCCCAUGUGUUUCAGAGUAGAGCUACUCAAUAGAGUUUUCAAAGGUUGUGACUUCAGAGGUAGGUCACCAGGCUUUUCUUCUAAGGUGCCUCUGGGUGGAUUUGAACUGCCAACUUUUCAGUUAGUAGCCAAGCACUUAGCCAUUUGCACCACAUAUGUUUAAAAUUGUAGAACUGUAUAAUAAUUUCACAGUAUAAUAAUUUAAACAAUUUUUAUAAAGGAAAGCAAAGCCAAAAAAAGAAAAAAACAAACUAGGAAGGAAAGCAAGGUGUUUCCCAUUGUUUAAAAUAUCUUCUGUACAAAGCAUAUUAACAUAUAUUAACAAAACCAAUGCUAUAUGGGAGGAAAGAAUGGAAAAAUAGAAUUUUAGAUGGUUAGACUCUUGCGGAUUUAUCCAGGCUUCAUGAAUAGAAAUUGUAUUUCCAAAGGUGGCUGCAGCACUAUGUCCUGGCCUACAUAUCCUUCUAGAACGUUGUUGCUUCCCCAACAAGAGGGGGAGCCUAUGUCCCUUCUCCUUGCAUUUGUGACCCAGAGUGUAUGGUGGAAGUUACAUACGUUAUGUGAUUUCGGAAGCUAAGUCACAAAAAUGCCACGCAUUUCCUCCUUGCUCUGUUGCGACAUUUGCACUUAGAACCCAGCCGCUAGAGUGUGAGGAAGUCUAAGCAGCCCAUGGAAAGGCCGAUGUGAGAGGAACUGAGGUCUCCACCCACAGCCCUGGUUGUUCUUCCAGUUGGUAGCCAGCACCACCAGCCAUACAAGACAGCCAUUUUGAGUCAAACUAGCUGCCACUGCAGGAAGCAGAGAAGAGCAUGUCUGCCAACCCUUGCCGAAAUCGCAUAUUCACGAGCAAAAUUGAUGAUGGAGUUGUUCUAAUCUAUUAAAUAUUCAGACAGCUUGUUACACAGCAAUAGAUAACUAAUAAAAUGUUUUUACCCAUCAACACAAACUGAUCAGAGUGCCUUCCUAGAAUGUAGUUUUCAGAAGGAUUCUUGGGUUGGGAUGAGGUUUAGAGGGAAAGAGGACAAUAACUGAUGAGUGAAGUCAUCCACUGGGCAUGGAAUUGAGCAAUGACACCAAUGAUGCAUAUUUGCCAAUCCUCACUUUACAGUAGCCAGCACCCUCACUUUAUAUAACUGAUUCAGACAGAAUGCAGUCAGGUGUGAUCUCCUCAAGAUCACACAGACAGUACCAGAGCCAAAGCUCUAAAUCUGAUCUUCUGAUGUGCAGGUUAGUAUUCUUUCUACUUUGCCAUGCCCCUUCCCAGUAAUAGAUUCCAGGGACCUGAGCCACAGAACACAGAGUAACAAAUAUAAGUCUGGUGCUUCUACUUCCUCCCUCACGUCAUUAGCUAAGUACAGAACUCUCCUGAGAUCACUGAGGCGAUUAUUGAUGAUAGACUCUAGUUGCAAUGGCUAACGAGCAGAAAGGUGCCAGAGCUAUAAUUGAUUUGUUUCAGGAGUAUCAGAGGAAUACACUAAAAAGUGGAUUCAGAAAGGUAAGCUGUGAAUGCAUUUGUAAGUAAAUGCAUUGUGUGUGAGUGAUCAAGAAGGAAGAUUUUAGAUAUGACUGCCCUGAACCCUGGUGGCAUGGUGGUUAAGUGCUACUGCUGCUAACCAAAAGGUCGGCAGUUUGAAUCCACCAGGCACUCCUUGCAAAUUAUAUGGGGCAAUUCUACUCAGUCCUAUAGGGUCACUAUGAAUCCGAAUUGAUGCAACAGGUUAAUGGGCCCUGUAUCAGGGGCCCUGGUGGUGUAGUGGCUAAGAUUCAGCUUCUAACCAGAAGGUCGGUGGCUUGAAUCCACCAGCUGCUCAUUGGAAACCAUAUAGGGCAGCGCUACUCUGUCCUAUUGGGUCACUAUGAGUCAGAAGUGAUUUUAUGGCAAUGGGUUUGGUUUUGGUAUCAAGCCCAUUUGUCUUAAAUGGCACAAAAACUUAUUUCUUACAGAGUCUACUAAGGAACUGCUUCUCACAUCCUGGGGGAACUCUGCUGCAGAUCCUAUUAGACAAUUUCCAUUUAAUAGUUUUAAACUUACCUUGUUGUAGUUGGAAGAAAAUAUACUUUAGUUCUAAUGUUGUGUGUACGUGAUUUUGGCUUCUGAACACAGCAGAACUGGGAGGCAACACAUUCAGGGCUGUUGUUGUUAGGUGCUGUCAAGCUGAUUUUCAACUCAUGGUGACAGAGUAGAACUGCCCUAUAGGGUUUCCUUUAUGACAGCAGAUUGCCAGGUCUUUUUCCCAUGGAGCAGCUGGGUGGGUUCGAACAGCCAACCUUUUGGUUAGCAGGCAAACGCUUAAUCACUGCACCACCAGGCUUCUUACAUACAGGGCAGUAUUGGGAUAUUGUACACCUGUAUGGUUCCAUUAUUUAUAGUGCGCUUGGCAUUUUCUGAGCAGGGUAGGCUCACAAAAAAGACCAUUUCUAGGGUACAAUUUUAAAGCAGGAGUUAUAAAUAUAUGGCACUGUGGUUUAUAGAGCAGCUCAUUGAGAACAAGAUUCAGAUUCAUCUAAUAUAGAACAAAGAGCAGAGUUUCUCAGAACUUGAUCAUAGGAAAGCAAAAACACCCUGCGUAAGCAGCUGCUAUUCAACGCCCAGAGAAACAAUAAUCACUUUCCCCUGCUAUGAUUCUGGCUUGUGGGGAGGGGCGCUGUUAGGUAUGAGGGUGAUUAUAGUAAAACAAGUACAUUCAUUCGUUCCUGUGUCUGCUGAGUACCUGGCAUGUGCAAAGUAUUCUGUUAAACACCAUGGGGGAUACAAGGAUGAAAUAGGCAGAGAUUUUGUCUUCAAAGCUUCUCUGGCAGAACCCCACCAUCCACUCUGAAUAGGAUAGGAUUUGAGAACGUGGGCCUAGCAAGUUAGAAAUCCAAAUAUCAGCCAGUGGCACCCACAUAGGAGAAAAUUGGGCUCAGUUACUAAAAGCAGAAUACAUCACUGCAAUUGUCUACACAAAGUAGCAGGCUUCAGAUGUUAAUAGCACCUCUCUCUUCUUCUUUUCUACAAGGUCUACACUAUCUUUGUGAAACAUACUAAUUGCCGGAUCACUUAGAUGCAUUACUAUGCUCUUAGGAAAUUUUUCCUGAUAAUGAAAUUCUUUUCAUCAGCUUCACUUUCAGAUUUGCAGUAUGGGUUUUUUCUUUAACAAGUGAGUGUUUGUUUCAGAAAAAUAUGCAGCAGAUGUAGCAAAACAGAAAUAUAAUAUUCUUGGAAGUACAUUAGAUAAUACUUAAACUUUCCUUUUUGUACUAGAACUUUAUUCUUCUAAUAAUUUCUCUGUCUGCAUCCAGUUUUAGAAGUGAUUGGUAUGUGUACUUUAUUUUCAAAUAUUCAAAAAAGAUAAGUAAGGUUCUUUUAACAAUUGUUCAGGUUUUUGAUGUCUUUAUCUAGAAAUUGUCUUAAGAAGAUACGGCUUUGAUAUUUUGCCAGUUUUUGCAUUUUUAAAAGAUGCUAAUUUGUAAUUCCCUUAAUCUUUUCUGGAAUAGAAUAUCCCGGUGCUUUCCAUUAGGUUUUCCUGAAUACUAGAAACUUGUUUUUCAACAAAUAAUCUUAACCCAGCCACCUCUCAAAGCCCAAUAGUAUCUGCUAAGUGCUAAUGCACUGGAACCAGACAGAAAAUAACCUAAAAAAAAAAAAGAGCUCUGGAGUCACUCCAACUGGGUUCCAGGUAAGGCUCUGUCACUCCCUAUGUGACUCUAGCUAAAUUACCUGAUCUCACUGAGCCUCCAUUUCCCUAUCCAUAAAAUGGGAAUAAAACCUAAGGUCAUUGUGAGGAUCAAAUACUAUAUGAGAAAGCAGAGAGCCUGGCACAUAGUAGAUGAUCAUCAAAUAACAAUUUCCCUUUGCUUACUCCUAAAAAUGACAGUGAUGAAGCUCAGGAUUUAAUCAUUAAAGCAUAUAAACAAUUACAGACGCAGACCACUUGCUCUUCCAACUCCCAACAAACUUUUCUGACUCCUUGGUAAGUAGGAGAGUUGGCAUUUCUCCUCCUUCUCAACAGGAAAAAAAAAAAAAAAAAAGCACCCAAUAUUAGGGAAAAUGAAAAUUUGGGGAGGGGGUAACCGCCCAUAAUUUCAUCAUCCUAGAACCACUUUUUUCGUUUUUUUUGUCAGGGUCUGGCUUUUAAACAAAAGGUCCACACUAACUCAACCGGUGUAAUUGGGGUGUACUAAUAGAUUUAUUCCAGGUGAUGGUGGGAAGCGGCUGAAGAAGAAAUGGAAGGCUGCGGGGGUGUUAAGGUUCUCGAAUGGUGUGUUGAAACCUUCCUUCUGCACCGAAACGCCUCUGCAGUUUCCCUUUCCUAGGGCUGUUUCUUUAAAUUGUUUGACGUCAGAGAAGGAGUGCUAUAGCAACAGUCUGUCAAACUGGAAUUAACUCAGCAAAAAGAUGGAGUGGGGAGAGGAAAACUGCUCUCGGGUGCUAUUGACUUCAGAGGGACGAAAUUGGAUAGAUCCAUUUAUUUUAUGACAUUUUAAGCAUGAAAAACCCGGAGAAAUGUGAAAUCGUGUCCUCAAUUGAGAUGUAUAUGGUAUCGAACUCAUGCGGAGAUGUGCGGCUUGGUGGGGUUAUCUGGAAGGUCUCGGGUUUCAACAGUGACAGUAGCAACAAUAACUUCCGAAUAUUGAUCACUUAUUUAGAGACGGGCUCUGCGCAAACGUUAUUUCAUUUAGUAUUUUUAGAAUCUUUAUGAGGCAGGCUCUUACCGCUGAAGAAACUGAGGCCCUGAGACGGUACGGGGUCAUCACACAACUAGUGAUGGUAGAGCUGGGCCUGCGGCGCAAUUGUGUAUGACACUGGCCUUCAGUUUACUCUCCUAGGUUUACAGUUCUGGAAUGUUAAAUCUAAAUGGAACGUUGGAGUCUUUUAACUCAGCCCACCAGCAAACUGAUGCCCGUGCGGAGCCAAGAAGGAAACUGACCACUCUUCUAGACAGGUGCUCCUGAGAAGUGUGCUCAGGGGUUCGGGCGCCCCACCAAGAAACCGAAACUGCCCGGGAAUUGGUGUUGUUCUCCUUUUAGCAGGAAACCAGAGAGAAAAUAGGAAGCAGAAGCUCCGCGCGAAGCCCGCUCCCUUCGCCCCCGACUCUGUGGCGCGCACUCCUCGCCCCGCGCGCCCCCGCCGCGCC